AAAGAAGAGGAAUUAAUUAGGCAAGCCAAACAACAACGUGCUGCAGACACUAACAGAACACAAACGUUACCUAGAGCAGAACUAAGACUGCAAAGACGCUGAUGCGAGAUGUGACCUGCCCUGAGAUGUCCCCCUCCCACUCUCUUCUGCUUGUAGGGGCACAACGCAGGGCAGAAAAUUAAGCCUCAAAACCAAAUGUUGCAGACAAAGCUAAAAACCAACCUAUGUUGCAGAAUGGCAUUGCAGUUAUCACACAGCAGAAGCAGCUGGAUAUCCUCUGCCAUAAGGCAUCCUUGUAUACAUUCUUGCAACCCCAGCCACUCGAGCAAUUAUUUGUUAAUGUACAAAACAAUGAAUUCUGGAAAUAACAGAAGAAAACACACACACAGAGAAGCAAGAACCUCAAAACUAGACGUGAAGAAUGCUCUGGGGACAUGGAAUAGCUUUGUGCCUGACUGGUCUGAUGCCGUACCCAGAGAACUAGGUGUGAGGGCACAAGAUGAACCCCAUGAAGACCUGGGCUGCCUUUUGCUUUAAAUUACAUACUGGCCAGCCCAGACACAGCAAUGGCACUAUCAGUCACAAAGCAAAGAAACAGAAGGCAGUGACAGCUUCCAACUGAAAACCAUUGCAGUUCAUCAUAUACCAUAUGAAUUUAUGGGAAGGCAAAAUAAUAAACAGUUAAUGAGCAUCAAUUACAUUAGCAUUAGGAUGGGUCACUGUGUUGUUUUGUACCCAUUACAUUUGUUAAACUCAUUGUAGAAAUGAAUUUUCAGAUACUAAUUCAAAGUUAGAUUCUGUCCCAACUAGCUAUAUUGAAUUUUAGCCCCACAAAGAUUACUUUUUAAAGCAAUGAAGUGUAUAAAAAGCUACGUGUGCUUCAAACAGAAUUGUGCCAGGGGCUCCAGUAAGAUCGUUAUUUGUAUCUUGGUCCUCAAACUCCAGUACUGAAGAUACAGUAACUGAUAUGGAAUCACACAGAGCUGGAAAGCUUGUAUCACUACGCAGUUCUGCAAAGGUCAUUACCUUUAACAUGAAGGCAGAGAGCCUACCAAAGCUACACUAGCAGGGGCAUGAGAAAGCAACUAUUCACCCCUACUUGUCAGAAAGAAAUGUUCUAUGUUUUAUUGUAGCAGUUAUUGGUUUUACACCCCUCCAUUAAAGUUUUGCCCUGAAGUAAAAAUUCUUGAGUUGGAAGUACAUUUAGCCAUUGGAAUAAAGAGACUAGGCAUCAUCUGCAGUACUACAACCUUAAGUGUUUAAAAUAAUUUACCUAAAAUACAUUUCUUCAGUUCCACUCAAGUCUUGCAAGAACAAAUGUAAUGAGGAAAUUAAGAAAGCCAGUGCUGUACUUUAGCCAACUUACAGCACUGACCUCCGAGACACUUAGAGAAGUAAGCCACAAAGGCACGCUGCUCUUGUAUGUGGCAACACCCCACUGUGCCAGCAAAGAGAGAGCAUCCUUUUUCCAUGCCCAAAAUGGUACUGAGAACUUCAAACUGCAUGUGCCCAUUUCUACUGCUAAAUUUUGCGCGACCAUUUUUAGGUUGCCAUGUCAGAUUCCCAUCCAGUUCUUGGAUUCCGUCCCACAGUGGAAGAACAGGCACGUGGCUGACACGUCUCAGGCCCACAAAAACUAAAUGAACUUUUAUUUCUCCAGCAAGAGAGCUGAGUCUGUUUCAAGAAGUUCAAACACUGAUUCCAGUCUGAUCUUGGCAUUAAGCUACAGGCGGCCCUCGAAACAAAUCACAGCUUCUUGGCACACUCAAUCCAACCAGACACCACUGCAAAAACAUUCUACAUCUGUGGUACAAACCAAAACACAAGCAGAAUGUUUUUGCAACCUGCUGCCCUUUAUCUGCUUAGAAUUUCCUUCCACAUUCUACUGAUCAAAUACAGAUUUUCACAAGCUGUAUUUGCUGAGGAUGUGACCCUAAUUCAGUCACUCAUUAUAUGAAGAUUUUAUCAGCAAUGUUAGUGUAUACAGAGCACACGCCAAGCUAAAGGGAAGGAAAGCACAAGUACAGUUUUAUACCUUUGCACCCACUCAUCUAGCACACAGUUUUGCACUAAAAUUUGUCUUUUGGCAUAUGAAGGAAAUAAGAACAAACAGUCACAUAAAAAUCUCAGCCUCGCUUAUCAGGAGAUCUGAACUCCAAAAUGCAGCAGUUGUGUGUGAAAGAAAGCACAGCAGCCUUGCACUCAGCAUCUGCCAGGCUCCACAUGGAGGUCGCAGCUCUGAGCACGUGCGUGUGGACAAGGCGGACACAUGCUCAGAGGCCUGGAACCAAAGCCUUCAGUUCUUCAUGUCCAGGCUCAUGAGGAAUGAGAUAAAUUCAGAGACCAGCCCCACAAGUGCCCUCACUUAGUUGCCAGGCCAAAAUCUGCAACUCGGAGAGGCCAGAACCUGCUGGGGACAGAGGAAGAUGUCACUGAGGGGACACCACAAGACUCAGCAAGAGAAGAAAAGGAGUAAUGUGUACGGCAAUGACUCCUGCUUUAUGAAUGUAGGUGAAGACAUAAUUUGCAGAAUAAUAGGCACUAAUAUUACACGCUGCUUCAGUUCUGUCAUACUUCCAAUCCAUCAAGUUGAUUAAUGCUAUAAUAACUCCUCACAAACUUAUCAUUUGUGCACUAAUGAAGUCAAAUCCAGUUUAUCCUCUGGCAACUAUAAUCUUCUGGUCACUAGAUGUUAGUUUCCCAGCUAAGUAAAGCUCUCCAAAGGCUACUGGAACAGAAGGAGAAAAAGACAAAACUGGGAAGAGAAAGAAAAUUAACAAAUGCUGUGUCAACUCAGUUUCAGUAGCUUUCAACACAGAACCACAUUUAUGUGUUAGAUCCCACGCAACACACACUUUUAUCAUUAACUGCUCACAGGAUAAAGUAACUGCCUGGAAGAACACCUUCCAGGAAUUGCUUCUCUUCGUAACUUAUGAAUAAGUAACCAUUAGGUUCUUCCUUCUGCCUCCAGAACCAGCAGAACCACGACUGUGUGGCGCCCAAUGGGUCUGCCUCCCAGGCACACAAUCUUUAUUGAAGAUUGCUUUCUCACCUUACUGACAUUUUUCCCAUGCUUCAGGAAUUCAAACAUUUAAUCUUUCAUAUGGAUUGUCUGCUGUUUUUCAGGACAUAUGACUGUUGCCUUCCCCUGUUUCUCUCCUUCUGUACUGCUUGUUUUUAAGCCAGUUACAGGAAACUGGCAUCUAUGGGAUCAGUUCUCCCUGUUACGUACAUCCAGAACAAGCACCAAAUUCAAUAGUUACUGGCAAGUGAGAACUAACAGCACAUGAACGCAGAAAGCAUCACCACAUAAGCCAGGUUACAGGUGCAAAGAAUUCAGCACCAUAGAGGAGUCAAACAGCAAGGGGACCACCUACAGAAAAAUCUUCUUUGGUUUUGUAAAUCACUAAAAAUAGAUGAAAAUUUCCCUAAGCUCAAUGUAUUUGUUAGUCAAAGUGUUCUGCUUAUUAACAGUUUAGCAUAAAAAUAUAGAAUACAAAGCACUACCAGGAUACUUCGGUGUCAAAUUAGACUUAGAGGGAAACUCUGAGAACUGGUGUGUUGCAUGUUCCCAGUGGAGUUGUAAUUACUCAGGUUUGCAGCUAUCUAUUAAAAGAGCUCGCUGCCUCAUCUGUCACAUAAGAGAAUGAAUUACUGAAUGUAUCAUUCUGCUCACACAAAAAGCUUCCAAAGCACAGAAUGAGACAUGACAGUCACAUAAAACUCGUUGCCACUAGAAAAGAAUAGCAUCAGGUGCAGUUUUCAGGUUUUGGAGUGAAAUGUUUUACUUGAGCUAUACCAUGGUUGGAGAUUAAAUCCAAUUAAUAUCUUGACUUCAACAUUUCCAGAUGUUACAGAGUUGUCAUUUCAAUAAUAAGAGUUUGUCAAUCUAAAUACUUUUGAGACAGCAAGAGGGACAAAUGCAUUUAAGCCAUGGGAAGAGAUCCUUGAGAGCACUGGACUUCACUACCAGCAGGAGAUGAGCAGCACACCCAAGGCUCACAUAUCUCAGCUCCAACUAGUGCUCUCAGAACAUGACAGGACAGGAUGUACUUCUCUAGGGUACCUGCACACAGUUAAUUUCAAGGUCCAAAAAUGAAAGGCUGUAAGAAAUUCCCUCAGCAAAGUCUGUGAUGAGGAAGGCAUCACUUCCCAACACUCUGCAGCACUUCAGUCCCACCAGCUCCUUGUCCAGGCUGUUCCAACAUCUUAUUAGAGUACCAAAUUAGGUCUCAACUCCUACAUUCUAAUAGCUGGGAAACUUCAUCCCAUGUCAGUGCUGCCUGGACGGAUGGGGGAACAGCCAUUUUCAUCCACUUUCCCCAAGCAGCUUCACAAUGAUGAAAGAGUUGAAAUGAAAUGAAUGGCUUACAAUUAUACCUUUAAUCCUGUUACUUAAAAAAUAAGACUGACUGUGGAAAUAAGAAGACACAAAACACUUUGCAUGUUAAAUUGUGAAAUAUGCUAAACAAGCACAUAACAUUUUCAGAAGCCUGGCAUGAAUCGCCAGUUUCGACCAUCACAGUACACGACGUGGUUUGCAGCAUGAGCUCAUUUAACACAUGUCCACAAGCCGCUCCUUCCCGAGUCUUGGGCACAGACAUGAGAAAGCUCCAGAUGCAGGCAUCUAAGUGCUCCCUCCUACAAGGGAAAUGAAGUUAUUAUCAGGUGAAAGAGUUCUGCAGGACCAUGCUCAACUUGAAAUUAAGCUGUUCCCAGCAAUUAGCACAACCAUAGAAUUUGGGUGGAGUGGGAAUGUGUUCAGAAGGCAAUGCAGACAUAAGUGAUUUUCAGCUAUAAAGCCAAAAUAUGCCUAAUCAGAGUCAAGGCUAAGGAACUAACACCAAAUGUUACUAGUCUGCAGAUUAUCUGUCAAGCACUGAAACUACAUAAAGUAAAUGAGACAAUCUCUGCCUCGAGUAUCCUGUAAACUAAAAUCUCCUGAGUUCUCAGUGUGCCAGUAAUUUAUCCCUCAACACCUUCUUUCUGCUUCCGUCAAUCAUGCACCCAAAUGACCAGCACCCUCUUUCAUGCAGACCUCUGUAUGAAAUUAUGCAAGUGAAACCAGGCCUGGGACAGAGCCAUUGCCUGCAACUGUAAGCAGGAGUUUACAGACUGUGCAGAAAAAAAAAAGCAGCUUCUCUGAAGUCGCCAGAUUUGCAUGGAUCAUUUCCCUUUCUGUUAUAUUCUUAAGCACUUUGAUAUUAAACUUGCAUAAAAAGAAGGAAAGCGAAAACAUCUGUAUUUACCAGUUUGGUUCACAUAGCAUUAAAGGCCUGUUAAAACAGCCAAGAGGCAAAAUACUCUCUACUAAAACCUAAAAAAGUUAGCAUUAAUUUUAAUCGCCGUAUUCCAAUAUUACAGCUGGAGAAAUUAACUUACGCAUUAUUUCCACACUGUUUCCUUUAGCCUCUCCCUAGGUACAGAUUUGAUUAAAUUAUAAUGAGAUACCUCAAAACUGUUUUCUCACAAGAGUAAACACUACAAAGAAAUCGAGUCCUACAUCUGGCUGCAUCCACAUCCAACAUCAUUAUUUACAAGUCUCCAAGCACCACGGAGCAAACAUCGCAACAACCAUUGGGAAGGCAUUCCUUGCCUGGCUUCCCAGGGCUGCUGCUCUGGGAGCUGUGCUCAACCCAAAGGAACCACACCGCAAGCUAACCCAUGGACACCAGGAGGAAAAAGGAUCAUUAAUAGUCUGAUGUUGAGAUGCAUCAAAAAGAAGUAGGCCAUCACUUUCUUCCCUUUUCACAAUGCAAAUGGUCACGCUUGCAGGGAACAAUAUAUUGUUUUAAAAGAAAAGGCCAGGAACUGAUGCAUUCCUAAAUCUCUGCUACAGGAAUGAAGCAUAGAAAUACAUUUUGAUUGGUCUGGUCCUGCAAACUGACAAGGGCCAAGAAGAAAUGAGAGCAUCAGCAGCUCCCUGGCAUUGCUGACAGAGAACCAAGGAGUGUUCCACAGUGCCCUGCCAAAUGAAAGCCCACUUUCACACAAGUUAAACAGGCCACAUUAAAUCAUGUAUCAAAUAAUUACAUCAUUUGCUUAAAUCUAUCCCGGACCUCCUUCUCAGAGAUAUUACAAUCCAGGUAAAUCAUAGCUGCUCAGUAAUUAUUGAUCAAGCAGACAUGCCAAUGUGAAGACUCAAUCUGAGCAGCAGUUCCCAAACUCAAGUUUCCUGCAGCAGAACACUAAAAAAGGUUGAUCAUGACAUGACUGCAGCAGCCAUCUAGGAUGAGACAAUCUGCUCCUUAACCCUCCAAGAAAGCUAUUAAUGGCGUGGAUUGAAGCAUCUGUCCAACUCCAUUACUUUGAGCUGAGUGCCCAGAGCACAGACUGUGCUGUGGCCCCCGGGUACUCGGCAUGCUCCCUGCAAGGAGGUGGCCUGGCAACUCCACGCUUGCAGAGAGGCCACUGAAACCCAGCAGAGUCAAAAUCAUAAAUACAAGCUGCUCCUAAAUCAACAUUUGGGCUCCUUCAGAAAAGCACAGAGUGCCAACUAAUGAUCUCAAUAGAUUUAUUUCUCAAGUCUCGACAAGCUGGAGCUAUUUUACUUAUUCCUGAUAUUCAGCAUAAAUGCUCCAUCUCAAAGAAACUCCGUAAUUCUUCGUUAUAGCUUUUUAUAGAUCUCUAAAUCAAUCUCUUCCCUUUGCGUUACUCAAGUCCUUUGCCCUUGCCUGAAGACAUAAAGCUCCAUGCAGAGGAGCUGCCCUGAAGAGGAGGACAGAUGUCUGACGCUCAUGAAUGUCCUAAGUGCCCUACUGGACUAUGACAAUUCUUAGCCAUGCUGACUACGUUUUUAUACUUUAAACUGGCCUUUUGGGAAGCUGUUUUAGAUCGAGAGCUCCCCAUCCGAACAAUCCAAACUCCUCCAUUCCUACAGAUGACUGGCAGACAGACCGAAAGCCACUUCUGCAAAGUGCCCCUGGGAGCUCCCUGCUUCACUCCCAGUACCUUUACUCUGACUCAAACCAGGGAUCCCACUCUUGUGUCCCACUAGAUCAGCCCUCAAUAUCCCUGAUCUUCUCCAAAUGCUUCCCCCCAUGCAUUCUUUCUGUUCAACCAGACCCAGCCCUGUGGCCUCUCACUAUGGCUGCCCUUCAUUCCCACUCUCCUAUCUCACCCAAGGAGCUGAGGGCAGCACUACCAGGAGGCAUGAGGUGAUGACAGCAGUGCUGAGAGCCUGGACCUCAGGUAGAGGCAAGAAGAGCAGAGAUCUGAGGCAGGAGAGCUGCAAGGGGCAGUAAUGCAGGCAGGUCUGGCAGUGGUGCAGCCAGCCAAGCGCUGCCACUGUUAAGGGGAAGACACUGGUGCCUCUGCUGCUGCUGUAGGGCUCACGGUCUCCAGGUCAGCCCCCAAAAGAGACAAUGGUAUUUGCAAAGCAAAUGGGACAAAAUCAAAGUAAGCAUUCCUUUUCAUUUACUAAUUUUCUUGUCAUACUUCUAGAGCAAUCCUGUUUCCUGUCAUGAGAAAAUAAGAAGAUACUACUUAGCAGAAAACAUCUAAUAGUAAAAUCCUGAUUAGAGGAAGACUGCUUUGUCUUAAUGGAGCCAGAAACAACUGUAGAGGGAUAUUCUAUUAUAAACUGUAAUUAUAUCACUUCAUAAAUACAAGAAGUAGCUAACUCAGAAUGAAAUACGUACAGUACUGUAAUUAUUACAAAAUAAAGUUAUUCCUCCUCUGGCCCAGCAAAAGAUUAGACAGGCAAUCCCUUCAAAGGACUGAUUCAAAUCAAGCUACAAAACAUACGUGCCUGAGCAAACUGGCAGGAGCCACCUAAGAGACUUGCUCGUGGCAAAAGAACAGGACUUAAAGGGAUCCCUUACAUUGGAUUACCUCCCGCUCCAAACAGGGAACUAUUUUUUCACUGUAUACAAGCACGAACUGUUCACAUUCAUACAUGCACAUUCUAAUGUACAAAACGGACACCCAGCUUACAUUCCAUGCCUCCAUGUGCAGGAGCAAUGAAGGCAGUCAGUUUUCACUCUAGAUGUUUUCUCUAAGCCAAACUGCAGCUUGUCUUAAUACAUAAAACAUGCACAUAAGAGAUUUACUUUUGCUCUGGCAUGUUACGCUGCAGGUAGACUCACUGAGAAUGUAAAAUAUCUAAAGGCAGAAGGGCAUCUGUUUUUCAAACUGCAUUCAUUUCCCUCAGCACUAAAACUGGCCAAAGGCCUUUAGACAUAACUCAGCUGCGGUAAACAGAAGAUCAAAGGACAAACAAGGAUAUUCUUUUCUCUCAUUUUGAUUGCUGGUCUGAACCUAAUGUGUGGGGAAUAGAAUGCUAAGCAUACUGAGUAAUUCAGUGAUCAAUUGAAAAACAUUUCAACAAUCUUUUCUAGGCCAUUUGAGCAGCCAACUUCUCUAAACUACCACUGUCAGAGUUUAAUAUUCUGAACCACUUGAAAGCUGGCACUCUAAUUCUUCUUGUAGCAUAAAUACCCAUUUCCUACCCUGUUAAAAUGUGAUUGAUGCUAAGCUACUCUAAACAAAUUCCCUACCAUACAUCCAAUUAAUACUUGAACAGUUCAGAAAUUGCUUAUUCAAAAUGUGGUGUAACAUGCUUGCAAUUCAUGGAACUACACAAGUAUUUAUGAUUCCCCGAGAUACAGCAUCAUUCUCUAUAUAUUUCUGAACAAGUGAAAUGUUAAAACAUCACUAGAGCAAGCAUCUGACUCCACAUAAGAGAUAUCGUUGUCAGUGUGCAGUGGAUCACUAUGGCAUGACAGCAGCAGGUUGUGCUCAGCACCUUGAGAUGCACACACGUUGCACAGAGACUGCUGAGCCUCUGCAUAUGUGCAAGCAAGCUGAGCCAGUAAGGACCACAGAGAGGAUGAGCUGGAGGUGCUGGAGCUGGUUGUCCAGAGCAGUCGCCAGCUGGGUUCUGAGCAUCCCCAGGGAUGGAGAUUCCAAAACUGCUCUGAGCAACCUGUACCAUGUUAAAUCAUAGUUCUGAGGGGGAUUUUUGUGUUUUUUUCCCCCCUCAAUCACUCUUACCAUUCCACUCACGCAUAACAAAGCACAGUAUUCACAGCCACAGGUAAGAGAAGGCUGUUAGAACAGCCAUUGUUAAGUAUGUUUUUCCUUUCAGAUACACCAUUUUUCAACCUCAAAAAUACUUUUGAGACAUUUAAACCUUCCCAGUAUCAGAAUAACAUAUUCCCUGUGUCUGUGCAACCUACAAGUGGGGGGUAUUGGCCAAGAACCUGGAUAACUUCUAGAAAAAUUUUCCAAUAUGAACAAAUUGAGCAAUUUUUCCUUUAUUUAAUUUCAGUCUUGGAGUGAUACAUAGUACAGAAGAGCUAGAAGGCCAUGACCCGCCAGCAAAGGUAUUUAUUAUUUUCAAGUCAGAUAACUGCUUUUGACACUGAUCUGCUUUUGGAAAGCAAAGGCAAGGUCAUAAUUUUGUUUUUAAAACGAUUCAGUGGUGUAGCAGAAAUGCUGAAGUCAGGGCUUGAACCACUGGUUUGAGCAUUUGGUAGAAAGGCAGGGCCAACACAGGGGAGCUCAGGUGUAAGCAAUGCCCCUGAGUAACUGAAAGGGGGGCAGCCAGGACCCACCCCUUCCCAGACCUCAUUUAAGGGUUGGCAGUGGAAGCAAGGAUUUCUUGCUGGAGAUCCCUGCCUACCUGUGGCUUUCCAAAGUUAAGUAUUUUUAUUUCUUUGUUUUUAUGUUCACAGUUGCUGCAUUUGAGCUUGUUCCAAGGAUUCAAAUUGCAAGCACUGAUAAUCAGCUGCUGCAUUUGGGUUUAUCCUCAGUGGCUGCAGCCCAGGGCUUUGCCACCCUACUAUUACUGCUGUGCUUUCCAUCACAUUAUAGUGUUACAAGUGGACAGGUCUACAACGAGGAUUGGUACUGUACCUUCAGUCAUGGAAGGUCCUGAAGCAUAGAAACACUUCUGAUGCUCUCAUCAUCCCAUAUUCAUCGUAUAACUGUCAUCACAAGAGCCUGAGGCUACUGAAAGCAACCAACCCAACGGAGAGGCAAGAAUCUGUUCAGAAACAGAGGAACAACUCGGAAUGAGAAAGGAAGGAGCCAGGCACUGCAGUAUUUCUUGCUUAUAGUUUCAAAUACGCAUAUGUAUGUGCAAUACAGUGUUUGUAAUUCCAGUAAGGAACAAGUAUUUGGUUUAAGAUACUCAAAAAGGGCCACAGAGCAGAGAAACACAGUAGAAUCGACUCCUACUCACAUUUGUGAUUAUACUUGUGUUUCACAAUGUAAGUGAAUGAAAAGCACUAAGGAGAUCAUGUUAAGUAAAUGGCAUGGAGUGAUGCUGACAGACCAUAAUCCCCAUGUCCUGAGGAAUUGGGGUGCCUGGCCUUUAGAAUGUAGGUGCUGCUGGAGCUAACACCAUGAAUCAACAAGUCCCAGCCCAAGAGCCAGGCACAACUUUAAGGAUGCCUGUGGGUCCCUGUUGCAUACCCAAAUUUGAGGUUCUUUGUUUACCACACCAGCAACAGGCAAGCAUGCUCUGAAAAACAAACCAGGACUCCUACAUCAGGGCCUCUGCAGACCCAGCUCUCGGGACAAAUGCUGGCUUCUUCCCCAACGGCCUGGCAGGAAUGGCAGUGCUAUUUCCUUGCAGUGUUUGCCCCUUGUGGGCUCACAUAGCAGGGUGAAAUGUGAUCAACACACUGACUUUAUGUGCAAUGUACUGAGCGUGUUUUGAGCUGUACAGCCAGAAACUCUCUGAGGUGCACAUUUGUUCCUUGAGAGCACUUCUGUUACAAAGUGUGACAGUUAUGCACGUUGCCGCUAUUUAGGACAAGGCCCGUGUUUGGUGCAUGCGGCCCAGUUAUGGCGAAUCGUAAGAACAAAUCAUGCAUCGUUACACUUCUCAGCUUCAUAACAGCAGCACCAUAAACACGGCGCUUGCAAAGGAACGUUAU